rnacentral:rRNA from 1 species
AACGAACGCUGGCGGCAUGCCUAACACAUGCAAGUCGAACGAGACCUUCGGGUCUAGUGGCGCACGGGUGCGUAACGCGUGGGAACCUGCCCUUAGGUUCGGAAUAACUCCCCGAAAGGGGUGCUAAUACCGGAUAAUGUCUUCGGACCAAAGAUUUAUCGCCUUUGGAUGGGCCCGCGUUGGAUUAGCUAGUUGGUAGGGUAAAAGCCUACCAAGGCGACGAUCCAUAGCUGGUCUGAGAGGAUGAUCAGCCACACUGGGACUGAGACACGGCCCAGACUCCUAGGGGGGGAGGAGGGGGGAAUAUUGGACAAUGGGCGAAAGCCUGAUCCAGCAAUGCCGCGUGAGUGAUGAAGGCCUUAGGGUUGUAAAGCUCUUUUACCCGGGAUGAUAAUGACAGUACCGGGAGAAUAAGCUCCGGCUAACUCCGUG